GCCAAAGCCUCCCCGCUUGCUCCCGCACGCGCCAGUAUAUUUAGCUGCCUCUAAGCCUCUACCUUCCCUUAUAUAGGAGAGGCCAAACGAAUUUCGCACUCUCAUUAUUAAUAGCCCGAGAGGAGCUCUGAGGCGGCCAAAAAUAGCAGGCAAACAGAGCGCACCCGGCGUGGGGAGGGCGCCGCGGAGCCGCCGGGACCGCCGCGGGAGGGACGCCGCUGCUUGUCCUGGCUUUUCCCUUUGGGAACCACUCUAAGGUGUCUCCCAGCCUCCUGCCCCCGCUGCAGCCCCGAGCCGCUGACCCCCCUCGCCCCGCCGGCUCUCUGCAGGCAGAGGAAGGAGCUCUUUGUUCUCGCUCCCCGCAGCACCGAGCUCGGCCCCGCUCUCGCUCCAGCCAUGGACCUUGUUGGCCCUGCCGUCGGGGCGGCCGUGGGGAUGGGUAAGGCACCGGAGGCGCGGGGAUGGGCGCUGCUGCGUGGAAAUGCGUCACUUCCCUGCUGCU